GGGAUUAGAUACCCCACUAUGCUUAGCCCUAAACAUAGAUAGAACAUCACCUUUCUAUCCGCCCGGGUACUACGAGCAUUAGCUUGAAACCCAAAGGACUUGGCGGUGCUUUAGACCCAUCUAGAGGAGCCUGUUCUAGAACCGAUAAUCCCCGUUGAACCUCACCCUCCCUCGUUUUUCCCGCCUAUAUACCGCCGUCGUAAGCUUACCCCGUGAGGGGCCAGUAGUGAGCUUAAUUGGCACAGCCCAAGACGUCAGGUCGAGGUGUAGCUUAUGGAAGGGCAAGAAAUGGGCUACAUUCCCUACCACAGGGAACACGGACAACGUACUGAAAAACGCGUUUGAAGGUGGAUUUAGUAGUAAGCAGCAAGCAGAGUGUCCUGCUGAAACUGGCUCUGAAGCGCGCACACACCGCCCGUC
rnacentral:rRNA from 1 species